UACGGGGGGGGCAAGCGUUGUUCGGAAUUACUGGGCGUAAAGCGCACGUAGGCGGAUUGCUAAGUCAGGGGUGAAAUCCUGGAGCUCAACUCCAGAACUGCCUUUGAUACUGGCGAUCUCGAGUCCGGGAGAGGUGAGUGGAACUGCGAGUGUAGAGGUGAAAUUCGUAGAUAUUCGCAAGAACACCAGUGGCGAAGGCGGCUCACUGGCCCGGUACUGACGCUGAGGUGCGAAAGCGUGGGGAGCAAACAGG
rnacentral:rRNA from 1 species